CGCCUCCCGCAAAAAUCAAUGUAUAGGAGGUCUUGCCUGCCCAGUGACUGUAAGUUAAACGGCCGCGGUAUUUUGACCGUGCAAAGGUAGCGCAAUCACUUGUCUUUUAAAUGAAGACCUGUAUGAAUGGUGAAACGAGGGCUUAACUGUCUCCCCCCUCUAGUCAAUGAAAUUGAUCUAUCCGUGCAGAAGCGGGUAUAAUUAUACAAGACGAGAAGACCCUUUGGAGCUUAAGACAAAAGACCAACUAUGUCAAAAGCCACAAAAAAUGGCACUAAACCAAAUAGUACUGGUUCCAGUCUUCGGUUGGGGUGACCGCGGGAGAAAACAAAGCUCCCAUGCGGACGGGGGAGUUCCCCUAAAACUAAGAAAGACAUUUCUAAGGCACAGAACAUCUGACCAUAAAGAUCCGGCUUCUUGCCGAUCAACGGACCAAGUUACCCUAGGGAUAACAGCGCAAUCCCCUUCCAGAGUCCAUAUCGACAAGGGGGUUUACGACCUCGAUGUUGGAUCAGGACAUCCUAAUGGUGCAGCCGCUAUUAAGGGUUCGUUUGUUCAACGAUUAAAGUCCU
rnacentral:rRNA from 1 species